ensembl:lincRNA
AUGCAGCUAGAGGUGUGUGGAGAGGAACAUGGAGCCAAAAAAGAAAUACGGACAUUCACAGCCAAGAUCCAACUCAGAAGACUAGAAAAUGAACAACCCAGCAAACUUAGGAGAUGGGGAAGGAAGGGAAUUCAGAAGGUGAUAGCUGCAAGCAUCGGCAGACCAGUCCUAGCAAAAUGGAGUUUAAAAGGGGGACUUCUACGUUCUGUCCUCCUGCAGCCAUCUAAAGUCAGCCAGAAAGGUUUAGGAUCCCAUUUCCUGUUCUUGCAUCGGCUGUCCAAGCUGCUGUUCCUCUCUCUGCAGUAAGAGGGUGUUUUUCUCCCUAUUCAAGAGGAGCACCAACACUUGAGGACAGUAUCAUCCCUAGACCUUGGCAAGAGAGACCACUGAGUGAGGCAUCCAUGGAACCCAAGGAAGAGGCCUAUGAAGAAUCUGCAGUCACCUUCUAGACCAUUCUCCCUCACCAAACUGUCCCCUCCAGAGAGCUGAGGACUGGAUCUUCCCAUGCUGACACCUCCAGUGGGAAAGAAAAUUCUAGAUUCAGCUCUGGGUGUCCAAGUCAUUAUGAAGGCAUAUUUGUCAAGGUGGAAGAAAAGGACAUAUUCUAUUUAGCAGUUUGUAAGUUUGAUCGAUAACUUUAAAAUAUUUGGACCUAUGGUGUGGGUGCCACUUGCCUCUUAAUCAGUGUUGGGUAGGAGUAGAACUUGCUAUGGGCAACCUCUUUCCCCACCUGCUGCAC